rnacentral:tRNA from 1 species
GAGGGUAUAGCUCAGUAGUAAGAGUACCUGCCUACUAUGCACAAGGUUCUGGGUUCAACCCUCAGUACUUCCA